GGUGAGAGUGAUGAGUUGCACGGAUCAGUUGGGGUGUCCGUUGCAGUGGCAUGGGCAACCCCAAUCCGACUCCACCUGAGGACACAAAGUGUGCACAGGGGCCAUCUGACUCAAC